AACUUCUAAAAGCAUUUUGCAUACGAACACUCAUUGGUAAUAUGAUAAUUAUACCAUCGAAAAUUUGGAAUAAAUUUAUAAAUACGAGGAAUACAAAGAUAUAUUUUAAAAGAUACAUCGUUUUGUCCCAAUAUAAUUGAUAAAUUUACUGAAUAAUUCCAUUUUAAAAUUCAAAAACAAUGUCAUAUCAAUUAGCUUUAAAGUGAUCAUAAGUAACACACAGCCUAAAAGUAUACCCCAUAAACUUGAAAUACUUUAUGGGCUCUGACCCGAUUGCUGGGAAAUCUCAGAGCUGCCAUAAAAACGCUUUGAUCUACGACGCUGAGGAGGGCAUCAUCGCAAGAGUCCAUUAAUUGGAUAAACUUGUAGAGGGCACUCCUCGCCAUCAACCCUGUCAACGCCUCAGUGUCACUUGCCCCUGUGGCCAGUGGACUUUGAUCCGGCUCUCGACAGUUACAGAAUUAAGAUGGAGAUUAUUGUAAGUCGUCAUUCCGCCCCAAGAAGAAGUACACGCAUCGCAUCACCCUUGAAACCCCUUGAGUUGCCAAUUUAAUUGGAUAACUGAAUUCCGGGCGAGCUUCUCACACUCAUUCUAGUCCCAGAUUCAUUCCCAGUUCACAUUUUCCGAUUUACGCAUUGUUCGCCGUCGAGUUGAUGGAUUCGUAUCUGAAUGGGGCUUGUGUAUCUGUAUCUGUAGCUGUAUUGUAUCUGUAUCUGCCUGCAUGUGUGUGUGUCCCCCACGAAUGAAUAAGGCGGAAAUUUUAAUAUAAACAGUGAAAUUCGAUUCGAGUUUGGUCUUCUGAUUCAUUGUGUCUGCAUAAUUACGGCUGGCUUUUCAAAUGUUUGUCAUAAAUAGUAAUUGAAUACAAGUUGAGCAAUUUGUACAUUUGCUACUCCAGUAACCGCAUGGCCAUCCCUUCAACCCACUUCACCCCUUCCCAGUGGCAAUGUGGUUGCCCAUCAAUCACAGCUGUAAUCACAUCUUUCCUCUGGAAAGCUAUCGAAAAUCAUGCGGCACUUUACUGGCUCAAGGUACUGCCAGUUUAGAGAUCAAAUCUAUUUUUCCACUUACACUCGAACUUCUUAAGGCGUACACCUCGAUGUUAAUUAAUUAAAUUAAAUUGGCAAAUUAGUGGCUACAUUUUCUGACCAAAAACAGAGUGUUGGCCAAGCAGGCGUUGACCAAAAUCGCCAGGAAUGCAAGCGGCAGGGUUAAAAAAUUGUUUCAUCAAUCGAAUAAAUAUGGUUUUGUAGUGCAGGCCGUUAAGGCGAUUCUCUUCAAACACCUAUGUAGCUAGGCGGCCAGAAGAGCUGAAGAGCUCCAAUUAAAAUAAUUAUGAAAUUAAUUCGAGCCAAGCGCGAGCGAUCUCGAAUCCCACAAAUCAUUAGACACGAAACCGAGGUAAAAAAUAAACUAAGCCAAAACUGGCUGCUUCUUGUCGUCAUGGCUUGCAACUCGGCUUAGUGAUGCAAUCGAAAGUGUGUCAACAGCUUUGGCAUCAAGUCACCGCACACAAGUGGAGCUCUUAAUGCCCAAUUGCAGAUCGGUCCGCCUGGCGAUCCAGCCCGGCCAUAAGUGCUGGAUUUUCCGCUUUUCAUUUGCACUUUCCAUCACUGACACCAUGACAUAAUUAUUUUGCCAACCCCCCCGUGCGGGUUUUCCAUCGAAAAAGUGCGCAAAGUAAAUAAAUGAAUAGAAAAAUAUAAUAAACCAGCCAAGCCUGAUUAGACCCCUCGGUUCGAGCCACUGCAACCGGAUUCUGGCCAUGCUUGGUCAACACUUGGCCGCUGCCGUUGUUUUCAUCGCUUUUCCCACUGCGCAGUUGAAAAUGGCCAGGCGGCGGGUUUUGUGGAUUUAAUAGUUUGUUUGUCUGCUCCAAACAAUUGCCUAAAACUAAUAACUAUUAAUUGACACUAAUGGGGAAUCAGUUAUCAUCAUUUAUCACACAAGCAUUCGCACAACUGUGAUGUAAGCGAGCUGGUUCUUUCAUUUUAAAGAGAUUAUGCGCAUACACCACAUGCUCCCAGUAGUUCAAGAACUUGGCAGCCAAGGACGCAAGUGGUGCCUCGGAUGCUUCAGGUCAAAACCGGUCGCUUGCAUCUUGACCAAGUAAAGUGCAUCGGCACCUCCUGCUGCACAGCGCAGCUGCCUCAAAAGCCAAUCCACGAGCUUCCGUUCUCCAUACGAGAAGGACAGGAAACCCCGUUUAGAUUGGCCAGAAUUGCGCAAUGCAUCUGGUCGCGGACAGAACCCAUAUAGCGAGCGAUGUUUGUGAGAAAUGUAAUCAAAGUCGGCCAUCGAAUCGGGGCAAUUUAUGGAUAUCGUGGCGAGCGGCUUCCUGGUUGGGCAAAUCGAAAUCAAAAUCGAAAUCAGGUUUGUGGCGCAGGCUCCCCGGGAUGGUGGAAAAAGUGGCCACGGCGAAGGUGUUGCCACUGGCUGGGAUCGCGGUGACGCAAGAGAUGCCCGCAAAGGCAGAGCCGGCAGUGGAACACCUGCGUCCAUUUGGAUAUUUGGUCAGUUGCCUGGCUCCCUGAUCCGGAGGCAGAAGCAGUUCACAACUCACUCACCUGCACCCUCAUCACCUCGCGCAUUUCCGUCUUGAAGGUGGCGCACCUCGGCGGGAUCUCCAUGCACCAGCUGGAGGUGCGCACUCGCACCGGCUGCAUCUCCGGCACCUGGACAUGCUCCACGUAGGGCUCCUCGCGGAUGCAGAUGUUCCCGGGUCCCUGGAUAGAGGGCAGGGCCACGGCCCCGGCCUCGAUGUCUUUCACGUUCGUGUUGAUCUUCAGGGUGCUGUUCUGUCCUGAUCCCAAAGGUAAAACAAUCGCGAGGAGCAGGAGCAGUUUUCCGAUAAGCUUUUCUCUUAUCAUAUUUGUUAUAUUAUUUUAUUUAUUUUUAACAGCUUAAAAGCAUUCACUUUAUUGUGCGAUUUGCAUAUCUAUCGAGGAUUACUGAUCUUAGAUUUUGUUCUUGAUUGAUUUCCUUGAAAAGUUCCGGAUAUUCUGUUUAUAAAUCGAAGUGUAAGUUCUUAAACUAUUUACUCUAAUUAAACUUUACUAUAUAAUUCCGAUCAACUCUUGGUUCAAAUAAGGAUCCUAUCCAUUUACAACGAUCAAUUUAAUCCAUUUGAUGAGCGCUGCGUGUACGUUUGGAUCGCGAGUCUCGUGAAAACUGUUUCCCCGUUGGCGGCGAUUCUGUUACUCACCCCGAAUGCUCCGAAUGUUCCUUCUCGAAAUAAAGUAAACUACGGAAAGCAGCAACAAAA